AGAGUUUGAUCCUGGCUCAGGAUGAACGCUAGCUACAGGCUUAACACAUGCAAGUCGAGGGGCAGCAUGGUCUUAGCUUGCUAAGGCCGAUGGCGACCGGCGCACGGGUGAGUAACACGUAUCCAACCUGCCGUCUACUCUUGGACAGCCUUCUGAAAGGAAGAUUAAUACAAGAUGGCAUCAUGAGUCCGCAUGUUCACAUGAUUAAAGGUAUUCCGGUAGACGAUGGGGAUGCGUUCCAUUAGAUAGUAGGCGGGGUAACGGCCCACCUAGUCUUCGAUGGAUAGGGGUUCUGAGAGGAAGGUCCCCCACAUUGGAACUGAGACACGGUCCAAACUCCUACGGGAGGCAGCAGUGAGGAAUAUUGGUCAAUGGGCGAGAGCCUGAACCAGCCAAGUAGCGUGAAGGAUGACUGCCCUAUGGGUUGUAAACUUCUUUUAUAAAGGAAUAAAGUCGGGUAUGGAUACCCGUUUGCAUGUACUUUAUGAAUAAGGAUCGGCUAACUCCGUGCCAGCAGCCGCGGUAAUACGGAGGAUCCGAGCGUUAUCCGGAUUUAUUGGGUUUAAAGGGAGCGUAGAUGGAUGUUUAAGUCAGUUGUGAAAGUUUGCGGCUCAACCGUAAAAUUGCAGUUGAUACUGGAUAUCUUGAGUGCAGUUGAGGCAGGCGGAAUUCGUGGUGUAGCGGUGAAAUGCUUAGAUAUCACGAAGAACUCCGAUUGCGAAGGCAGCCUGCUAAGCUGCAACUGACAUUGAGGCUCGAAAGUGUGGGUAUCAAACAGGAUUAGAUACCCUGGUAGUCCACACGGUAAACGAUGAAUACUCGCUGUUUGCGAUAUACUGCAAGCGGCCAAGCGAAAGCGUUAAGUAUUCCACCUGGGGAGUACGCCGGCAACGGUGAAACUCAAAGGAAUUGACGGGGGCCCGCACAAGCGGAGGAACAUGUGGUUUAAUUCGAUGAUACGCGAGGAACCUUACCCGGGCUUAAAUUGCAGAUGAAUUACGGUGAAAGCCGUAAGCCGCAAGGCAUCUGUGAAGGUGCUGCAUGGUUGUCGUCAGCUCGUGCCGUGAGGUGUCGGCUUAAGUGCCAUAACGAGCGCAACCCUUGUUGUCAGUUACUAACAGGUUCUGCUGAGGACUCUGACAAGACUGCCAUCGUAAGAUGUGAGGAAGGUGGGGAUGACGUCAAAUCAGCACGGCCCUUACGUCCGGGGCUACACACGUGUUACAAUGGGGGGUACAGAGGGCCGCUACCACGCGAGUGGAUGCCAAUCCCAAAAACCUCUCUCAGUUCGGACUGGAGUCUGCAACCCGACUCCACGAAGCUGGAUUCGCUAGUAAUCGCGCAUCAGCCACGGCGCGGUGAAUACGUUCCCGGGCCUUGUACACACCGCCCGUCAAGCCAUGGGAGCCGGGGGUACCUGAAGUGCGUAACCGCGAGGAGCGCCCUAGGGUAAAACUGGUGACUGGGGCUAAGUCGUAACAAGGUAGCC
rnacentral:rRNA from 1 species